AUAAUGGGCGCAACGUGAUCCAGCAAURCCGCGUGUGUGAAGAAGGCCUUAGGGUUGUAAAGCACUUUCAAUUGGGAGGAAAACCUGUCGGUCAAUACCCGGCAGCUUGACAUUAACUUUAGAAGAAGCACCGGCUAACUCCGUGCCAG
rnacentral:rRNA from 1 species